CAAUUGUUAAGUUAUAUAUGAAUCAAUUCACUAAAGUGAAAUAUUCAUCCAAGUAGCGAAUUGACAAUCUCCUUCAAGCUCUCGAAACCCUCAAAUUGUCAUGAAGUAAAAUAGUCGAACUAAGAACAAAUUAAGUACUGAAGCUGGUUUAAGGUCUGUAAAUGGUUCUUACCCUGCUUCUUUAUCGGAGGUAGACUUCUUUGUUGGAAGAAUUCAGAGAAAGUGGUGGCCAUGUCAUACAUGCUUGUGAUUACAAAUCUGGGGAGAGGGGUACACUAUGCAUUGCAAGAUCAGAAAACCAUGUUCCAAAGACAUGUCAAUAUUUGCAAGACCAGAACCCAUGUAGCAGAAUACCAGAAGCUGCCUAGUCCUUCCUAUGAUAUUAAAUUUUUUGAAAGAACAAAUAAGGUUCGUUCACUACAACUAGAGAGCUUGACAAACUAUAUUGCCGCGCGAAUUGUCUCUCAUGGAGAACAGCAUAUAUACUUUGUUAUGCUCCAUUACUUGUAGCCGCUUCUGCAAUUUUCCUUGCCAAGUUUAUACUUUUCAUUGCGAAGAAACCAUGGGAGGAAGCGGUGAACCGGCUGUUGGGGUUGAUUGCAAUGUAAGUCUCACAUUGCUAAUGAAGGAGAAAAAAGAUCAAGUUAUACAUCUUGGAGAAGUCCCACAUCGCUUAGAUUAGUGAGGGGUGGGAGGAUCCAAGACUAUAUAUAGGGAUCUCAAGCUCCUUGUUUCAACACACCAAAACACCAAAGAUGUAGCACCUGAAAACACUUUAAGUUUAUAUUUGUGUUUUCUUUUUCUCUUAUGCUCUUGUUUUAGAGCAUUGUGAGAUGUAGCUCAAAUAUUUACUUUGGAGAGUGCGGGUGUACUGGGGUCUUGGGGUGUGGUUGAGAGUGAAAUCUAUGUGUUGUAACAAUUUUCACAUAGUGUUUAUUCUCUGGUUGUCGGUUUUGACAACGGUCGUGGUUUUUCUC